rnacentral:rRNA from 1 species
UGCAAGUCGAACGAAGCACUUUAUUUGAUUUCCUUCGGGACUGAUUAUUUUGUGACUGAGUGGCGGACGGGUGAGUAACGCGUGGGUAACCUGCCUUGUACAGGGGGAUAACAGUUGGAAACGGCUGCUAAUACCGCAUAAGCGCACGGCAUCGCAUGAUGCAGUGUGAAAAACUCCGGUGGUAUAAGAUGGACCCGCGUUGGAUUAGCUAGUUGGUGAGGUAACGGCCCACCAAGGCGACGAUCCAUAGCCGACCUGAGAGGGUGACCGGCCACAUUGGGACUGAGACACGGCCCAAACUCCUACGGGAGGCAGCAGUGGGGAAUAUUGCACAAUGGGCGAAAGCCUGAUGCAGCGACGCCGCGUGAGCGAAGAAGUAUUUCGGUAUGUAAAGCUCUAUCAGCAGGGAAGAUAAUGACGGUACCUGACUAAGAAGCACCGGCUAAAUACGUGCCAGCAGCCGCGGUAAUACGUAUGGUGCAAGCGUUAUCCGGAUUUACUGGGUGUAAAGGGAGCGCAGGCGGUGCGGCAAGUCUGAUGUGAAAGCCCGGGGCUCAACCCCGGUACUGCAUUGGAAACUGUCGUACUAGAGUGUCGGAGGGGUAAGCGGAAUUCCUAGUGUAGCGGUGAAAUGCGUAGAUAUUAGGAGGAACACC